CCUACGUGAGGCAGCAGUAGGGAAUCUUGCUCAAUGGGGGAAACCCUGAAGCAGCAACGCCGCGUGGAGGAUGAAGGUUUUAGGAUUGUAAACUCCUUUUGUUAGAGAAGAUUAUGACGGUAUCUGACGAAUAAGCACCGGCUAACUCCGUGGCAGCAGCCGCGGUAAUACGGAGGGUGCAAGCAUUACUCGGAAUCACUGGGCUGAAAGAGUGUGUAGGCGGGGUAAUAAGUCAGAUGUGAAAUCCUGUAGAUUCACUACAGAACUGCAUUGGAAACUGUUACUCUGGAGUGUGGGAGAGGUGAGUGGAAUUCUUGGUGUAGGGGUAAAAUCCGUAGAGAUCAAGAGGAAUACUCAUUGCGAAGGCGACCUGCUGGAACAUUACUGACGCUGAUGCACGAAAGCGUGGGGAGCAAACAGGAUUAGAUACCCGAGUAGUC
rnacentral:rRNA from 1 species